ensembl:lncRNA
GCAGUAAGUGCUUUGGGGGAGAGGUGUUUCAAUGACACGAAGAGGUAAAAAUGAUUAUAUUGUUAGUAUAAUGUAAAGCACAUAAAACAGUAGUUUUAAGCACGUUAAGUGCUGCUAAUGUUGUUGUUCAGUCGCUAAGUCAUGUCCAACUCUUGGCAACCCCAUGGACUUGCAGCAUGCCAGGCUUCCUUGUCCUUCACCGUCCACUGAGUGGUGUCCACUGAGUCGGUGAUGCCAUCCAGCCAUCUCAUCCUCUGUCAUCCCCUUCUCCUGCCUUCACCAGGGAGUCGGCUCUUCACAUCAGGUGGCUGAAGGACUGGAGCUUCAUCUUCAGCAUCAGUCCUUCCAAUGAUAUUCUGGGUUUAUUUCCUUUAAGAUUUGACAGCUUUGAUCUCCUUGCUGUCCAAGGGACUCUCAAAAGUCUUCUCCAGCACUACAGUUCAAAAGCAUCAGUUCCUCAGCCCUCAGACUUCUUUAUGGUCCAACUCUCACAUCAGUACAUGACUAUUGGAAAAACCAUAGCUUUGUCUAUAUGAACCUUUGUCAGCCAAGUAAUGUCUCUGCUUUUAAAUAUGCUGCCUAGGCUUAGACAUAGCUUUAUCUUUACUUUGCAGAUGAGAAAAUAGCAAAGUUAAAUUCAAGAUCACAUAGACAGCUGAGAUUUUACUGAUUCAAGUACUGACUGAAGUAUAUAGCCAUGAAACCCACAUUUAACUCAGAGUAUAUUAUCUGAUUGCUUAAUUGUGGGCCAGACAGCAUAUCAGUACUCUUUUGCUUUGGGCCAGGUUAGUAGUUGUUUCUGGAGGGUAGAGAUAGGAUCCUGAAGUUUUUUAAGAAGAGAUAUUGUCAUGAGUUGGCAUUAUUUUUGAAGCCCUAUAUUUACCUAAUAUUUCUGCAACUUAUAGUGCUAAGUUGAUUCAGUCAUGUCCGACUCUGUGUGACCCCACAGACGGAAGCCCACCAGGGUAGCAGAGUCAGAAACAACUGAAGCAACUUAGCACACACUAUACUACAGUCAUUUAUAACCAGGCUGUUGGAAUUACAUCUCAUUCAUUAGAUUCUAAAAGAUGCUUAUGAACAAAUAAGGCAAUAUGUAAUCAGCCCAACUCAAGACAACACUCAAUUUUAAACAGAGUCGCUGAUUAACAAUUCAUAAAAAUGGAAUCAAUGAGUGAGAUCAGUGACAAAGGGGGGAAUAUGCAGGCCACACAAUGUACUGCCUAAAAGAACUGAGUAACUACCUCCUCCCACACCUCUAUUCCUUCCCCAGCUUGUACACUACUGCUGUCAUCUCGUACACUCUAGGAUGCCAAGUCUAUUUUUUUCUUUCAAGCUAGACCUGGGGUCUGUGAUUAAAAUCCUGGAGUGUAAGUUUUAUGAAACAUGAACCUGUGUCUUUACACAAGAUAGAAGUAAAAACAAAAAAUUCUUAUGAAAACAGCAAGCUUAACCAUCUUAAAGCAAGUUCUUACAACUCUAGUACAGCUAAGAUCACUCGGUGUAUGUGAAAUACAUAAUUCCAGGCAACACCAACAAACAAUACUGAUUCUUAUAUGAACAGCCUGCAAGCUUCUUUUGAAAUACCAACAGAUUAUAAUAAAUUUCCCCCCAACUUUUCAGACUAUAGGCAACUGACAGCAAUAUAUAGCCCAAGCCAAAUCAUUUUACACAGCUGGAUAUUCAUCUUGCUAGAAUCAUGUUACAUAUGCAAAAUUUCAGAUUAGAUUCCUCAAUAUGGCCAGUCGUGAAGAAAGGGUAAAUCAGUAUGCAUUCAACUGUUUCCAAGGCAGGUAGUAACAAUCAGUCUUUACGAAAUCUAGGGUCAUCCUUAAGUAUUAGUGCACUGAUGAACUGCACUAUUACGUAAACCGCACCCAAAUGAAUUUACUGAGAUGUCAGUGUAUCCAUUUUGCAUGGAUCCAGAUUUUUACAUUUCUGGUUAAUCUGACUCUAAACCAAAUAAAACUCAUUAUACAAUACAGGAAAAAACAAACACCAUGAUGGACAGUGCUAUCAGUCCUUGUUUUCAAAUUGCCAAUACCUCAAGGCCGCACACAUACAGUACUUUUAAAGUGCAAGCUAACAACUUCAAACAACUUUUCCAGGCAGUAAAACAAAGCAUAUAAACUACAGAACACAAAGAACUGAAAAUCAGAUUCUAAUGUUUUUAGUAAGAUUACCUUUCAAAAUUAUCUCAGCAUAAAUGGAACCUGGAGAGGUGUCCACACACUAUAUUCUAACUUGUAUACAACAAAGAACAAUGAAGCAGUUGCCAUACCAAUGGCAGAAAGAGUAACAUGGUAAACAAGACCUGCAACCUUGAAAAAUAUGUUGAAGAUAAGAAAAGGGACAGAGAAAACCCAGGACCCCGGGAAGAGAAAUUAACUCAGCUGGUAGCAGACAUCUAGUUAAUCAAAAGGUAUCAAAACCUGAAUUAGGACAACAGGCAUAGAAAAUGGGAUCAGUAGCUCUAACAGGUCUACAAAACUGAUGGGAGAAGUGAAAUCAAAGCUUCCUAACACUGUCCAGCAAGUAAAUGAGAUUGGUUCUAUGUUCAACUAGCAACCUACCUGUAAACUUUACUUUGUGGCCAAACUUCAGAAGGGCACUGAACUACUUGUACUUUGCCUCAUUUGGUUCCCCCAAUCCUUUCAUCACCACACACACACACACACACACACACACACACACACAAAGGUUGCUUAUCACUUCUAGUCUCUUCUGAAAUCUUACUAAAACCCAGGGCUUAAAAAAAAGGGGAUUACCACUGGCAAUCCAACUUUCAUUGUCAGUGGGCAUGGGUUCGAUCCCUGGUCAGGGAACUAAGAUUCCACAAGUUAUAGUCAAAACCCAAAACAAACAAAUACCAUAAAAAAGAAACUACUGAAUUAUAUAAGCUGCAAAGCUUUUGAACAAAUGGCAAUUAACCAAGCAGACAAGAAAGGAAUUUUCUGUCAGCAGUGAGGGUAUUUCAAAUUGUAUCACAGAACUUGCAAAGGCUUACUAAGCAACUGGCAGCCCUGAUCUCUCUGGAAAUAGAGGUAAAGGGGAGCAUUGGUCGACAAGCAAUUAAACCUCCAUAUCCUCUCUGUACUGCAGGACAACUGAACUCGCCCAUCCUGGCAGAAACUUGUCUGAGCAGGUAAGGGAAGGUGGUCUUUCAACAGGCAUACCGUGAUGAAAACAAAGGAGUUAAAAAGUACUUUACUUGUUCAGAUCCCUCAGGUUUCUCCCCACACUGGGAUCUCAGAACAUUGGCAGCCAAGUUUUUUUUACCCUCCAGGCAGCAGAAUGGAAGAAAGGAAAAAAAAAAAAAAAAGACUUCUCUGGGGAACCUGAUCAGCUCAAA